GUAGGUGAACCUGCGGAGGGAUCAUUACCGAGUUUACAACUCCCAAACCCCUGUGAACAUACCUAUUUGUUGCCUCGGCGGUGCCUGUUCCGACAGCCCGCCAGAGGACCCCAAACCCUGAUUACAUUUAAGAAGUCUUCUGAGUAAACCGAUUAAAUAAAUCAAAACUUUCAACAACGGAUCUCUUGGUUCUGGCAUCGAUGAAGAACGCAGCGAAAUGCGAUAAGUAAUGUGAAUUGCAGAAUUCAGUGAAUCAUCGAAUCUUUGAACGCACAUUGCGCCCGCUAGUAUUCUGGCGGGCAUGCCUGUCCGAGCGUCAUUUCAACCCUCAAGCCCCCGGGCUUGGUGUUGGGGAUCGGCGAGCCUCCGCGCCCGCCGUCCCCUAAAUCUAGUGGCGGUCUCGCUGUAGCUUCCUCUGCGUAGUAGCACACCUCGCACUGGGAAACAGCGCGGCCACGCCGUUAAACCCCCAACUUCUGAACGUUUGACCUCGGAUCAGGUAGGAAUACCCGCUGAACUUAAGCAUAUCAAUAAGCG
rnacentral:rRNA from 1 species